rnacentral:rRNA from 1 species
CUGUGACUCCUACGGGAGGCAGCAGUGGGGAAUAUUGCACAAUGGGCGCAAGCCUGAUGCAGCAACGCCGUGUGAGUGAAGAAGGUUUCGGAUCGUAAAACUCUGUCCUAAGGGAAGAAACAAAUGACGGUACCUUAGGAGGAAGCCCCGGCUAACUACGUGCCAGCAGCCGCGGUAAUACGUAGGGGGCAAGCGUUAUCCGGAAUCACUGGGCGUAAAGGGUGCGUAGGCGGCUUGACAAGCCAGGGGUGAAAGGCAUUGGCUCAACCAAUGUAAGCCUUUGGAACUGUUAAGCUUGAGUGCAGGAGAGGUAAGUGGAAUUCCUAGUGUAGAGGUGAAAUUCGUAGAUAUUAGGAGGAACACCAGUGGCGAAGGCGACUUACUGGACUGUAACUGACGCUGAUGCACGAAAGCGUGGGUAGCGAACAGGAUUAGAUACCCUGGUAG